GAUUGAACGCUGGCGGCAUGCUUUACACAUGCAAGUCGAACGGCAGCACGGGUGCUUGCACCUGGUGGCGAGUGGCGAACGGGUGAGUAAUGCAUCGGAACGUGCCCAUGAGUGGGGGAUAGCCCGGCGAAAGCCGGAUUAAUACCGCAUACGCCCUUAGGGGGAAAGCGGGGGAUCUUCGGACCUCGCGCUAUUGGAGCGGCCGAUGUCGGAUUAGCUAGUAGGUGAGGUAAAGGCUCACCUAGGCGACGAUCCGUAGCUGGUCUGAGAGGAUGAUCAGCCACACUGGGACUGAGACACGGCCCAGACUCCUACGGGAGGCAGCAGUGGGGAAUUUUGGACAAUGGGCGCAAGCCUGAUCCAGCCAUGCCGCGUGAGUGAAGAAGGCCUUCGGGUUGUAAAGCUCUUUCAGGUGGAAAGAAAUAGCGCUGUUUAAUAGAUGGCGUUGAUGACGGUACCACCAGAAGAAGCACCGGCUAACUACGUG
rnacentral:rRNA from 1 species